rnacentral:lncRNA from 1 species
ACCUAUGGUCGGGAGAGCCUUGCCCAGGUCGCCUCCCCUGCUUUAGGUGCGUAUCGAGUGCGGUGACCGGGGAUCGCCAGCUUGUGCUGCUUCCCCAGGGGCGCUUCCCUGUUCUCCAGAGCUCUUCCUUGUGACCUCGCGAGGUGGGAGUGGGUUUUCUCGGGCGACGCGUGGGGGACACAACUCCAGGGACCCUGGGAAUAUUGACCCAGGGCUUUAAAGACCUGGAGGUCAGGGGUUGCCAUCAAAUCCGGACCUCAAGUCCCCUGCAUGCCUUAUACCUCUCUGCUCUAUGGUCUUCUCACCUGCCGGUCCCGCGUAACAUGUGUCCAGUCUCUCUGAGAUGGGACUUAAUCUGAAAAAACUCAGCAGAUAACUCAGGAUUUUACGUGUUCUUUCUUAGCCUAGGGUGCCUCCUUUUCAUUAACAACAAAGUAAAAAUUAAUUUGCACGUGAGAAUGCUAUUUCUACAGUACACACUACCUGUCUCGAGACAAAUUAGUUGAGGAUUGUGACAGGUGUUAAUAACGUUAGUAUCACACAUUACUCCAGAGCCUGUAUUUUUUAAUCUCCUUAUUUUAUUGCAUGGGUAAUGGUUGGUUAUAACUAUUGCUACCUGAUAUUAUCCUUCAAGGCUCUUGGACUCCAUGUGUCUUUAGGCAGGGGUGGGACUUUCCAGUUCAUCGGACCCUUGAUAGUUCAGGUGGUCUGUCAAAUUAGAAUGUUAAAGGUCAUAUAAUUCGAACAAAUAAUGUAGCAUAGUCCUGAGAUAGGCAGGUGUGUGUAUUUGUGUUUUCUCUAGCAUGUAGGCCCAACACAUGCUAAAUCUUUUAAAUCCUCAACCUGUUGACGAACUUGGCAAAUUUCUUCAUAGGCAAAGAAGGGACUAUUGGUAGUACCGGCGUUUAUGGUACUCUUGCAUAUGACAGUGUCAGUACAACUUUCCAACUACAAAUAGUGCUGCAUCUCUAUUGCUUAAUAAUCUUAGGACUCUAUUUGUAUUAAAUUUAUUCAUGUGUGUGUUAAUAUAAGCAGACUUCUCUUUUGAGCUGGCUCUGACAUUGCUAUACCAAGCCCCAUUAUGAUUCUUCUGUUGAAUGACAAACACUUUGUAAAUUUUGUUUGUGAUCCACAGUUUCCUGACAGGCAAUAAACAACUAUUUGAUUCUUACAACUGCUCCAGCUUUGGGAUACAAGAUGAAGCAAGAUGCUACAAGAAAUGCUGCGUACACCGUGGAUUGCGAAGAUUAUGUGCACGUGGUAGAAUUUAAUCCCUUUGAGAGUGGAGAUUCAGGAAACCUGAUUGCAUAUGGCGGCAGUAAUUAUGUGGUUGUUGGCAUGUGUACGUUUCAGGUUAGUCCACAAACUAUACGGAGUGACAGUAGAGAUACUUUAUCAGUAAUGUGUACAAACCAAAGCUGAACUUAAAAGUAUGUUGCUUUUAAUAC